GGAACGGUGGCCGAGAGGCUGAAGGCACAGGUUUGCUAAACCUGCGUAGGGGGAAACCUCUACCGAGGGUUCGAAUCCCUCCCGUUCCG
rnacentral:tRNA from 1 species